rnacentral:rRNA from 1 species
ACGGAGGGUGCAAGCGUUAUUCGGAAUUACUGGGCGUAAAGGGCGUGCAGGCGGGAGAGCAAAUCUGAUGUGAAAGCCCGGGGCUUAACCCCGGAAGGGCAUUUGAAACUGCUUUUCUUGAGUUUUGGAGAGGAAGGGAGAAUUCCCGGUGUAGAGGUGGAAUUCGUAGCGAUCGGGAGGAAAAUCAGUUUCGAAGGCGGUCUUUUUGACAGCACCUGACGCCGCGCCGCGUAAUUGUGGGGAGCACAUAG